rnacentral:rRNA from 1 species
GACAGAGGUGCCAAGCGUUAGGCGGAAUCACUGGGCUUAAAGCGUGUGUAGGCGGAUGUCUAAGUACCUUGUGAAAUCCCACGGCUCAACCGUGGAACUGCUUGGUAUACUGGAUGUCUUGAGCCAUCUAGGGGCUACCGGAACAAAUGGUGGAGCGGUGAAAUGCGUAGAUAUCAUUUGGAACGCCAAUGGUGAAAACAGGUAGCUGGGAGUGUGCUGACGCUGAGACACGAAAGCCAGGGGAGCGAACGGG